rnacentral:rRNA from 1 species
UGCAGUCGAGGGGUAACAGGGGAGCUUGCUCCCGCUGACGACCGGCGCACGGGUGAGUAACGCGUAUGCAACCUACCCUUAACAGGAGGAUAGCCCAGGGAAACUUGGAUUAAUACUCCAUGGUUUCACAGAGUCGCAUGGCUUUGUGAAUAAAGUUCCGGCGGUUAAGGAUGGGCAUGCGUGGCAUUAGCUAGUUGGUAAGGUAACGGCUUACCAAGGCGACGAUGCCUAGGGGUUCUGAGAGGAUGAUCCCCCACACUGGGACUGAGACACGGCCCAGACUCCUACGGGAGGCAGCAGUGAGGAAUAUUGGUCAAUGGGCGAGAGCCUGAACCAGCCAUCCCGCGUGCAGGAUGACGGCCCUACGGGUUGUAAACUGCUUUUAUGUACCAAGAAUAGGCGCUACGUGUAGCGUUAUGACGGUAGUACAUGAAUAAGCAUCGGCUAACUCCGUGCCAGCAACCGCGGUAAUACGGAGGAUGCAAGCGUUAUCCGGAUUCAUUGGGUUUAAAGGGUGCGUAGGCGGUCUGAUAAGUCAGUGGUGAAAUGCUGCAGCUCAACUGUAGAACUGCCAUUGAAACUGUCAGACUUGAGUGCGCCUGAGGUAGGCGGAAUGAGUAGUGUAGCGGUGAAAUGCUUAGAUAUCACUCAGAACACCGAUUGCGAAGGCAGCUUACUAAAGCGUAACUGACGCUGAUGCACGAAAGCGUGGGGAGCGAACAGGAUUAGAUACCCUGGUAGUCCACGCCGUAAACGAUGAUAACUCGCUGUUGGCGAUACACAGUCAGCGGCUUAGCGAAAGCAUUAAGUUAUCCACCUGGGGAGUACGAUCGCAAGGUUGAAACUCAAAGGAAUUGACGGGGGCCCGCACAAGCGGAGGAACAUGUGGUUUAAUUCGAUGAUACGCGAGGAACCUUACCUGGGCUUAAAUGUGGAUUGACCGUUGCUGAAAAGUGACUUCCCUUCGGGGCAAUUUACAAGGUGCUGCAUGGUUGUCGUCAGCUCGUGCCGUGAGGUGUCGGGUUAAGUCCCAUAACGAGCGCAACCCUUAUCGUCAGUUGCUAACAGGUAAAGCUGAGGACUCUGGCGAGACUGCCACCGUAAGGUGAGAGGAAGGUGGGGAUGACGUCAAAUCAGCACGGCCCUUAUGUCCAGGGCUACACACGUGUUACAAUGGUCGGUACAAAGGGCAGCUACUUGGCAACAAGAUGCUAAUCCCAAAAGCCGGUCUCAGUUCGGAUUGGAGUCUGCAACCCGACUCCAUGAAGCUGGAUUCGCUAGUAAUCGCGCAUCAGCCAUGGCGCGGUGAAUACGUUCCCGGGCCUUGUACACACCGCCCGUCAAACCAUGGAAGCUUGGGGGACCUGAAGUCUGCAACCGCAAGGAGC